rnacentral:rRNA from 1 species
UACGUAGGGGGCAAGCGUUGUCCGGAAUCAUUGGGCGUAAAGAGCGUGUAGGCGGCCCGACAAGUCCGCUGUGAAAGUCCAGGGCUCAACCCUGGAAUGCCGGUGGAUACUGUCGGGCUAGAGUCCGGAAGGGGCGAGUGGAAUUCCUGGUGUAGCGGUGAAAUGCGCAGAUAUCAGGAGGAACACCAAUGGCGAAGGCAGCUCGCUGGGACGUGACUGACGCUGAGACGCGAAAGCGUGGGGAGCAAGCAGG